CACGUGGGAAACCUGCCCAGAAGCGGGGGAUAACACCUGGAAACAGAUGCUAAUACCGCAUAACAACUUGGACCGCAUGGUCCGAGCUUGAAAGAUGGCUUCGGCUAUCACUUUUGGAUGGUCCCGCGGCGUAUUAGCUAGAUGGUGGGGUAACGGCUCACCAUGGCAAUGAUACGUAGCCGACCUGAGAGGGUAAUCGGCCACAUUGGGACUGAGACACGGCCCAAACUCCUACGGGAGGCAGCAGUAGGGAAUCUUCCACAAUGGACGAAAGUCUGAUGGAGCAACGCCGCGUGAGUGAAGAAGGGUUUCGGCUCGUAAAACUCUGUUGUUAAAGAAGAACAUAUCUGAGAGUAACUGUUCAGGUAUUGACGGUAUUUAACCAGAAAGCCACGGCUAACUACGUGCCAGCAGCCGCGGUAAUACGUAGGUGGCAAGCGUUGUCCGGAUUUAUUGGGCGUAAAGCGAGCGCAGGCGGUUUUUUAAGUCUGAUGUGAAAGCCUUCGGCUCAACCGAAGAAGUGCAUCGGAAACUGGGAAACUUGAGUGCAGAAGAGGACAGUGGAACUCCAUGUGUAGCGGUGAAAUGCGUAGAUAUAUGGAAGAACACCAGUGGCGAAGGCGGCUGUCUGGUCUGUAACUGACGCUGAGGCUCGAAAGUAUGGGUAGCAAACAGGAUUAGAUACCCUGGUAGUCCAUACCGUAAACGAUGAAUGCUAAGUGUUGGAGGGUUUCCGCCCUUCAGUGCUGCAGCUAACGCAUUAAGCAUUCCGCCUGGGGAGUACGGCCGCAAGGCUGAAACUCAAAGGAAUUGACGGGGGCCCGCACAAGCGG
rnacentral:rRNA from 2 species